CCAGACUCCUACGGGAGGCAGCAGUGGGGAAUAUUGGACAAUGGGGGGAACCCUGAUGCAGCGACGCCGCGUGGGUGAAGGAGCACCUCGGUGCGUAAAGCCCUAUCGGCAGGGAAGAAACAGACGGUACCUGACUAAGAAGCCCCGGCUAACUACGUGCCAGCAGCCGCGGUAAUACGUAGGGGGCAAGCGUUAUCCGGAUUCACUGGGUGUAAAGGGAGCGUAGACGGCGACGCAAGUCUGGAGUGAAAGCCCGGGGCCCAACCCCGGGACUGCUCUGGAAACUGCGGCGCUGGAGUACAGGAGGGGCAGGCGGAAUUCCUGGUGUAGCGGUGAAAUGCGUAGAUAUCAGGAGGAACACCGGCGGCGAAGGCGGCCUGCUGGACCGUGACUGACGUUGAGGCUCGAGAGCGUGGGGAGCAAACAGGAUUAGAUACCCGAGUA
rnacentral:rRNA from 1 species